UACAGAGGUCUCAAGCGUUGUUCGGAUUCAUUGGGCGUAAAGGGUGUCGUAGGCUGGCGCGUAAGUCGGGUGUGAAAUUCGACGGCUUAACUCGAAACUGCAUUCGAUACUGCGGUGCUUGAGGACUGGAGAGGAGACUGGAAUUAUGGUGUAGCGUGAAAUGCGUAGAUAUCAUGAGGAAGACCAGUGGCGAAGGCGGGUCUCUGG
rnacentral:rRNA from 1 species